rnacentral:rRNA from 1 species
GAUGAACGCUGGCGGCGUGCCUAAUACAUGCAAGUCGAGCGAACGGACGAGAAGCUUGCUUCUCUGAUGUUAGCGGCGGACGGGUGAGUAACACGUGGAUAACCUACCUAUAAGACUGGGAUAACUUCGGGAAACCGUAGCUAAUACCGGAUAAUAUUUUGAACCGCAUGGUUCAAAAGUGAAAGACGGUCUUGCUGUCACUUAUAGAUGGAUCCGCGCUGCAUUAGCUAGUUGGUAAGGUAACGGCUUACCAAGGCAACGAUGCAUAGCCGACCUGAGAGGGUGAUCGGCCACACUGGAACUGAGACACGGUCCAGACUCCUACGGGAGGCAGCAGUAGGGAAUCUUCCGCAAUGGGCGAAAGCCUGACGGAGCAACGCCGCGUGAGUGAUGGAGGUCUUCGGAUCGUAAAACUCUGUUAUUAGGGAAGAACAUAUGUGUAAGUAACUGUGCACAUCUUGACGGUACCUAAGCAGAAAGCCACGGCUAACUACGU